rnacentral:rRNA from 1 species
GUGAGGAAUAUUGGGCAAUGCCCGCAAGGGUGACCCAGCAACGCCGCGUGGAGGAUGAAGGUCGUAAGAUCGUAAACUCCUGUUAGAGGGGAAGAACACCACCGAUUGGAUCGGUGUUUGACUGUACCCUCAGAGAAAGCCCCGGCUAACUACGUGCCAGCAGCCGCGGUAAUACGUAGGGGGCAAGCGUUGUCCGGAUUUACUGGGUGUAAAGGGCGCGCAGGCGGGAUAGCAAGUCAGAGGUGAAAUCCUACAGCUUAACUGUAGAACUGCCUUUGAUACUGUUAUUCUUGAGUUCGGGAGAGAGAGACGGAAUUCCAGGUGUAGUGGUGAAAUACGUAGAUAUCUGGAAGAACACCAGUUGCGAAGGCGGUCUCUUGGUCCGAUACUGACGCUGAGGCGCGAAAGCGUGGGGAGCAAACAGGAUUAGAAACCCCAGUAGUCC